rnacentral:rRNA from 1 species
UACGGAGGGUGCGAGCGUUGUCCGGAAUCAUUGGGCGUAAAGGGCACGUAGGCGGUUCUUUAAGUCUCAUGGUGAAAGGCUGGGGCUCAACCCUAAGCAAGCCGGGGAUACUGGAGGACUGGAGACAGGCAGAGGCCAGCGGAAUUCCGGGUGUAGCGGUGGAAUGCGUAGAGAUCCGGAAGAACACCGGAGGCGAAGGCGGCUGGCUGGGCCUGAUCUGACGCUGAGGUGCGAAAGCGUGGGGAGCGAACAGG